GAUGGGUGAAUUUCAGCGCACCUUUCGAGUCAGACGUGCCGGAAGUGGAGUUUAAGCGAACCAGAGAAAUACCCAAAAUGCAGUUCGCGUUGAACACAACAUACCGGAGGUCCUACCAGAGUCCGGACGUACUCCCGGAACUAAAGGACAAGCAGAAAACCGGCCGAUUCGGCAACACGCCCGCCAUGGUUGUCAAGCCGGCACGAGGCAUCGUUCCAGAGGCAAGAGCACCGCAAUAUUCACCGUACGAAACUCACUAGAUCCAAGUCCACACUGACAAGGCUUCACUAAUUUGUAAACCGACUGUCUAGAUAAUUAAG